GCCCUGUAGACUCUUUUGCCCGAGUUAUUGAGGUGGGUAACAAGGUUAUCAAGUUGCCACAAGCAGGACUUUCAUGCCAGGGUGGUGCUAGACCAUGUACAAGGUUAUAUAGCCUACUGCAGUUCAGCCAAGGGAUCGAAAUGGUGAAAAGGACAUGACAUCUACUAAAAAGCCCUGCCAACUAACGAGGCUUCAGCAAAGAGACCAAGGGCCCUAAAACACCAAGUCUUUGAGCACCAUUUGGCCAUGAUUGAGUUUCUGUGGUCAACCAUUGGUCACGUUUAUGUGGUCUGUCUGUUGACACUAUUCAGCCCUGAUAAUGACUAAGCAUGUGGAGACAGUGGUGGAUGCAGUCAAUGAGAGUGAGAUGUCUGACUGGCUGUUUAGCCAAGCCUCUUUUUACCUCCAGCUUUACUUUUCUUCUUCCACAACCAAAAAAUCUGACGAGAUUCCAACACCACAGCAACACCAAACUUUACAGCGAUAGUUCCAACAUUUUAGUUGCACUAGCAGCUUGGCCAUAGUGUUGGCAUGUUAGUCUGUCAAUUAGUUGUUCCACCACUUUGGUCCAGACUGAAAUAUCUCAAAACUUAUUUAAUAGAGUGCCAUGAAAUCUUGUUCAGAUAUUAAUCUGUUCCAAAAGAUAAGACCUACUUACUUUGACUUUUCCUCUAAGGACACUAUGAAGUUAAGAUGUUUGUUUCUUAUUAAAAUAUCUUGACAACUAUA